GACACGGGGAGGUAGUGACAAUAAAUAACAAUACGGGGUUCUUUAGGAUAAUUGGAAUGAGUACAAUUUAAAUCUCUUAACGAGGAACAAUUGGAGGGCAAGUCUGGUGCCAGCAGCCGCGGUAAUUCCAGCUCCAAUAGCGUAUAUUAAAGUUGUUGCAGUUAAAAAGCUCGUAGUUGAAUUUCGGGGUUAGUAGGUUGGUCAUGCCUCUGGUAUGUACUGGUCUCACUGAUUCCUCCUUCCUUAUGAACCGUAAUGCCAUUAAUUUGGUGUUGCGGGGAAUUUGGACUGUUACUUUGAAAAAAUUAGAGUGUUUAAAGCAAGCUAACGCUUGAAUACAUUAGCAUGGAAUAAUGAAAUAGGACGUUCGAUCUUAUUUUGUUGGUUUCUAGGAUUGACGUAAUGAUUAAUAGGGAUAGUUGGGGGCAUUAGUAUUCAAUUGUCAGAGGUGAAAUUCUUGGAUUUAUUGAAGACUAACUACUGCGAAAGCAUUUGCCAAGGAUGUUUUCAUUAAUCAAGAACGAAAGUUAGGGGAUCGAAGACGAUCAGAUACCGUCGUAGUCUUAACCAUAAACUAUGCCGACUAGGGA
rnacentral:rRNA from 1 species